rnacentral:sRNA from 1 species
GAUACCAGGGUCAAAAGGUUAUGCGUUUCAUGCUUGCAUGAAAAAGCAUGACUUUGGGACCCGUAAAACAUGAGAAAGUAGCCUGAAUAGGGCGGAUUUCGAAUGUUUUCAGGAUUGCGUAAGCAUGAAAUGCGGAGCAAUCCGU